rnacentral:rRNA from 1 species
CCUGAUGGCGGGGGAUAACUACUGGAAACGGUAGCUAAUACCGCAUAAUGUCUACGGACCAAAGCGGGGGACCUCCGGGCCUCGCGCCAUCAGAUGAACCCAUAUGGGAUUAGCUAGUAGGUGAGGUAACGGCUUACCUAGGCGACGAUCCCUAGCUGGUCUGAGAGGAUGAUCAGCCACACUGGGACUGAGACACGGCCCAG